GUUUUGGAAAAACCACAACAAACCCUAGUAUUCUUUCUCCUCUCCCUUGGAACCAGUGGUGAUCAUCAUCAUUCGAAGCUCUACCUCCUUCCAACUCAUUCACUCUACACCUCUAGUCCGCAUUUAAUGGAGAUAGGCAGUCAGGGUUAUGGCUUGGUUGACUAACUUGGAAAACGUGCGUUAAUUAAUCUUACCGAGCAAACCAAGGUCUAUAGGUUGAUAUCAGUUGGAACUUGCUGUCUGGGAGGCUAGAGUAGUCAUGGGUCGUGCCACAUGGAUUCGCAAUACAAGUUUAUUGGUUUACGAACGCAUGGUUUAUGAAAUACCUUACAAUAAGUUAUGCU
rnacentral:lncRNA from 1 species